AAUCACAUACCUUUCAUAUGUAAACGAUAAAUAUCAUGUGAAAAACACAUACAUGUUAUUGCGUCCUUACGAUAACACUCAUCUGUCAAAACGAUAAACUGUAUGUCAUUCAACGAUACGCGUUUUGACAAUUGAAAGUUAUGUGAUUUGCAGAUGUGAAAAUUUCAUUGCUGUCUCCCCUGUCACAGUGCUUCAAGAUGGCGUCAACAAAAGAAGAGUUGCUUUCUGAUCUAGGUUUUUCGGAAGAAUCUCUCGAAAUUUUGAGCCGCUGCGGAAUUCACUUCUACGAGCUGCUGGUGUAUACGGCGGACGAUUUUAGGAAAAAUCUUAACCAGACUAAUGUUGCUUGGAGCUGCGAAGCUUUUUACGACUUCGUGCAGGCGUGGAGAACACGGAAUAAAUUAACAGUAUCGAAAGUGUUUUUAAGUGAUCUGGCGGCUCCGGAAAUACCUGUUGCAGUUAACAGUGGCCAAGCAAGUCAAAUUAGUGGCCAAAUCGAAACAGAUAAAGAUAGAUUAAUGUGGGGCAAGAUGGAUUGAUAUUGACUACAAAUUUCUAAACAUCGGUGCAUCCAAUGGAGUGCAGAAGCUGGAAUCUGCAACAGCCGCUAUUUCUUCAUUCAUCGCAAAAAAAAGCCGCCGAUCCGUCAGCUGUAGGAUUAUUGAAAUAUUUAACCAACUGCGAUAUUAACCAAGAUACCAAGCUGUGUGCACUUUUACUUGGACUGAGUACUGUUCUCCCACCAAACAUUGUUUCUACAAAGUUCAAGCCAACGAUUUACGAGGCUCAGGAGGAUUCGAUAAUAUUUGUAGAUUCUAGUGACCAAAUUACUACGAAGUUGAAAUGCACCUAUAAAUUAUAUGCGGAUAAAAAGCUUCCGAUUUAGCCCAAGCUAGUUGUUGUCAGAACAGGAUUGGACACUCUAACCGGAAGAUUUUAUGUGCAUCAUCCGGAUUUCUGCUUCGAGUUACCAACGGCUACAAGGGCCAUCGACGUGCUGAUCAAAACCACACACACAUUUGGUUUAAAGUACUCGAAGAUAUCAAAACUCGUUUGGCAUUUUAAAAGUUCCUUCGCUUACAACAUUGAACAUCCUGAGACCUACGCCAGUGUUAGCAGGCUCAAUAAUUUUAUUGCUCUAGUGGAAAGCACCUCUACCGAGAAUGUUUAGAUGUAUGUUCGAAUAAUGUAACACAUCUUUCAAAGCCGCUGAAUAUAUUACACAUUUGAGAGAUUUCCAUAGAGUUCCCGUAAAUCAUCACUACAGAUGCACCGUGCCUUCAUGCAGACAAACUUUUUCCAAACAAUAUCCGUUCAAAAAACACAUUUCGCCACGAGGAACUAAUCAGUCAAGAAUGCAAUCAAAUACCAUUGCACGUCGAUCGUCCGUUAGUAUCAGUUGCUAAUGAGAGUAAUGAUUUUAAAAGACAGAAAAUAAGCGAAGUAGACAUAAGUAAUCCAGUAGUCGAAUCGACAGACAGACUAAAUGGAAUCGACAAAUCAGCACUAGCAUUAAUUUUAAGUUUACACGCGAAAGCUAACAUGAGUAGAAAAGACGUAUACGAUAUCCAGAGAAAAAUAAAGUUAAUGUUCGAAAUGAUACCACCUGAUGCAGAAGCAAAUUUUUAUUAUGAAAAUUAUAUUUCAAAUCUUAAAAAUGUUUUUAAUUCCGUAAGUUCUGAUUUUAAGCUUUUUAAUCAUUUGAAAAAUACAAACCGCUUUGAGUUACCAUCUAUCACAAUUAUAAAUAACAAAGAAGAGCUGGAAUCGAAAGAGAUAGAUAUGGAAUGUGAUACAGAUACUGGAAUAAAUAAAAGUUACAUGAUUAAAAUGCCCCUUAAAUUUCAAAUUAAAUCAUUUUUAGAAUCUAAAAAAAAACAUUCAGUAUAAUGUUAUAAAACGCAGAAAAACUAGAAAGCUCCGGAAAAAUUUGCAAUUUUGUAAAUGGCUCUAAAUGGAAACAAGUACGUCAAAAAUAUCAGGGAGAUUCAGUCAUUCCUCUUUGGCUUUAUGCAGACGAGUUUGAGAUUAAUGACUCUCAAAGUUCCCACUCUAACAGACAUUCUGUUUGUGGUAUUUAUUAUAAUUUUCCCACAAUUCCAUCUGAGUUCAGCUCAAAGCUUUGCAACAUAUUCGUAGCCGGUAUGGUUAAAAAAAACUGAUAUGAAACAUAACUGUAUUAACAAACUUAUCACUGUUUUAUUAAAGGACUUUAAAUCAUUCGAAGAAAAAGGAAUACAAUUAAAUAUUGAUGGAAAGUUAGAAAAUGUAAGAAUCGUUUUAGGUUUACUUCAGGGCGAUAACUUGGGUAUACACACUUUAUUGCAGUUUUCUAGUGGAUUUCAUGCUACAUUUUACUGUCGCUUUUGCCGCAGACCAAAAGAGUUGUUGAAAUCAGAUUUCAAGGAGCAUGCAGACUGUUUACGCAGAAGGCUAGAUUACGACGAGGAUGUUGAAGAAAACAAACAGAGCGAAACAGGCAUCGCUGGAAAAUCUAGUUUUAAUCAGCUACCGUCUUUUCACGUUACUGAGAAUAAAAGUGUCGACGCAAUGCACGAUCUUUUCAGUAACGGGAUUUGCAAAUACGGAUUGGUAGAAAUAUUAAAUUUUUACAUAUAUGAAAAACAAUAUUUCACCAUACAAGAUUUCAAUGACCAGAGAAAAAAAAUUAGUAAAAACUGCUUGGAUAGCGAAUUGCAAAAAAUGCCUGACAUUUCAAGUCAUUCCAGCAGCAAAGACAAGAGGAAAACUGUAUUGUUAAAAUUGACAUCUAGCGAAAUGCGUUUCUUGAUUCAUUACUUUCCUUUAAUUGCGGGUCGAUUUAUUCCAAGAGGAGAUAAAGUUUGGACCUAUUGUGUGGCGUUAGUAAAACUAGUUGAAAUGUGUCUAAAACGAUCAUUCACAGAAACAGAAAUCGAUAAGCUUCAGGAAGCUAUCACCAUGCAUCACGAGCUGUACAAAAAAUUAUUUAAUAAGGAUUUAAAACCGAAGCACCAUUUUGUCGUUCACUAGCCUUCUGUAAUUCAAACUUCAGGACCUGUAGAGCAGAUGAUGUGUUUUCGAAGAAUUUCGAACAAUACGCUCACAUCAUGUCGUCAUGCAAGAGCAUUUGUUACACUUUAUGCGUUAAAGCAUCUAUGAAGUUUGCUUACGAUUUACUAAACGAGAAUUUUUUAAAGGUUGAGUUGAAUAACAAUUUUGAAAUUACUGAUAUUUGUUUGCGCUAUUACUUCAAAGAUAUUGCCCAGUUAACUAUCUUUAACAAUGGUUUUGAUGUCAUGAUGUCUAAAAAGAUUAACUAUAAAGGUACUGUUUAUAAAUCUGGAAGUUUCAUUGCGUUAGAUGGUAAAAAUGGUUUGAGCUUGUAUCAAGAAGUGGAAAUCGUUCACCAGAAUUGUGGUUACUUUUUAAUAACUCAAAACUGGAAAGUAGGUCACUUCGACGAGCAUUAUAUGGGCUUCGAGGCAAUAGAAUCAAUCCCAACUUGUGAAAACAUAGAUAUUGAAGAAAUUAAGAAUCCACCAAUAAUGUUACACAGAAUUGAAGAGCUAUUUUACUUUCGUUUAAAACCUAGUUUUAAUGAUUAAUGAAAUAUUUUUAAUUUUAUGUAUAUAGCAUACAAUAAAUAAAAUCACACAUUGUUACUUGUUACUGGAA